rnacentral:rRNA from 1 species
UACGGGGGGGGCAAGCGUUGUUCGGAAUUACUGGGCGUAAAGGGCUCGUAGGUGGCCAACUAAGUCAGACGUGAAAUCCCUCGGCUUAACCGGGGAACUGCGUCUGAUACUGGAUGGCUGGAGUAUGGGAGAGGGAUGCGGAAUUCCAGGUGUAGCGGUGAAAUGCGUAGAUAUCUGGAGGAACACCUGUGGUGUAGACGGCUUUCUGGGCCAUAGCUGACGCUGAGACACGAAAGCGUGGGUAGCAAACAGG